GAUGAACGCUGGCGGCGUGCCUAACACAUGCAAGUCGAGCGAUUCUCUUCGGAGAAGAGCGGCGGACGGGUGAGUAACGCGUGGGUAACCUGCCCUGUACACACGGAUAACAUACCGAAAGGUAUGCUAAUACGAGAUAAUAUACUUUAUCGCAUGGUAGAAGUAUCAAAGCUCCGGCGGUACAGGAUGGACCCGCGUCUGAUUAGCUAGUUGGCAAGGUAACGGCUUACCAAGGCGACGAUCAGUAGCCGACCUGAGAGGGUGAUCGGCCACAUUGGAACUGAGACACGGUCCAAACUCCUACGGGAGGCAGCAGUGGGGAAUAUUGCACAAUGGGCGAAAGCCUGAUGCAGCAACGCCGCGUGAGCGAUGAAGGCCUUCGGGUCGUAAGGCUCUGUCCUCAAGGAAGAUAAUGACGGUACUUG
rnacentral:rRNA from 1 species